rnacentral:lncRNA from 1 species
ACUAAGGUUUCCCGUGACUGUCCCCUAGUUACAUACGGAAGAUCCCGGGAUAACUCUCUUCCUUUUCAUUUUUCUCCCCCUCCCUUCCUCGUCCCCUGUCUCUCCGUCUCUCUUUCUCCCUCUGUCUCUCUCCCCCCUCCCUCUCUGUCUCUCCCCUCUCCGUCUCUCCCUCCCUUUUUCUGUCUCUCUCUCCAUCUCUUCCUCUACCCAUCUUUUUCCCCCUCUCCCUUCCCUCCCUCCCCCCUUUUCUCUGUCUCUUCUCCCUCUCCCUGUGUCUCUCCCCCUUCCCUUUCCCCGUCUCUCCCUGUCUCCCUCUCUCCCUCUAACCAUCUCUCCCCUCUUCCUUCUCUCCCUCUUCUCCUUCUCCCUGUGUGUCUCUCCCCGUCUCUCUCCCUCUACCCAUCUCUCUUCCCCUCUCCCGUCCUUCUCUCCCUCUUUUUCUCUGUCUCUCCCUGUGUGUCUCUCCCCCUCCUCUCCCCUCUCUCUGUGUCUCUCCCUGUCUCCCUCUUUUUCUCUGUCUCUCCCUCUCCCUGUGUGUCCCUCUCCCUGUCUCUCCCUCCCCCUCUUCCUCUCCCCCGUCUCCCCUCCUUCCCUCCCUAUUUUUCUGUCUCUCUUCUCCCUCUCCCUGUGUGUCUCUCCCCCUUCCCUCUCCCCGUCUCUCCCUGUCUCUCUCUCCCCACCUCCCCUCCUUUCCUCCCUCUUUUUCUCUGUCUCUUCUCCCUCUCCCUGUGUCUCUCCCUUCCACUCCCUGUCUCUGUCUCCCUCUCUUCCUCUCUUUUCCUCUGUCUCUGUCUCUCCCUGUGUCUCUCUCCCUCUUUUUCUCUGUCUCCCUGUGAGUCUCCCCCUCCUCUCCCCAUCUCUCUACCCCCUCCCUCUUUUUCUCUGUCUCUCCCUGUGAGUGUCUCUCCCCCAUCUCUCCCUAUCUCUCCCCCCUCCCCGUCUCUCUGUCUCCCUGUCUCCCUCCAAUUCCAUGCUCUGUCUCUCCCUCCCUGCCCCUUAGGUACCGAGGCGCCAAACGGUGAUGAAACGCCCCGAAAAGCCAAUUGCUGGGUUAGGUUUUUUUUUGGGGGGGGGGGGGAAGAGAAGGGGGUGGGAGGAGGGAGGGGAGGGAAAAAAAGGGAGCUGCUUUUCCUGUGCAGAAGCGUCCUGCGACUUGGAAACCCAGUAAUUGCUGGAGACAGCGAGGCUGGGGGGCGGGUGGAGGUAGGCAUGUAUAAAUAG